rnacentral:rRNA from 1 species
GACGAACGCUGGCGGCGUGCCUAAUACAUGCAAGUAGAACGCUGAAGGAGGAGCUUGCUUCUCUGGAUGAGUUGCGAACGGGUGAGUAACGCGUAGGUAACCUGCCUGGUAGCGGGGGAUAACUAUUGGAAACGAUAGCUAAUACCGCAUAAGAGUAGAUGUUGCAUGACAUUUGCUUAAAAGGUGCAAUUGCAUCACUACCAGAUGGACCUGCGUUGUAUUAGCUAGUUGGUGGGGUAACGGCUCACCAAGGCGACGAUACAUAGCCGACCUGAGAGGGUGAUCGGCCAAACUGGGACUGAGACACGGCCCAGACUCCUACGGGAGGCAGCAGGAGGGAAUCUUCGGCAAUGGACGGAAGUCUGACCGAGCAACGCCGCGUGAGUGAAGAAGGUUUUCGGAUCGUAAAGCUCUGCUGUAAGAGAAGAACGAGUGUGAGAGUGGAAAGUUCACACUGUGACGGUAUCUUACCAGAAAGGGACGGCUAACUACGUG